rnacentral:lncRNA from 1 species
UUCUCAUCCAUUGCUAGUAGGAGUAUAAAUUGGUAAGAUGGCCACCACUUGACAAUAUUCCUCGAAAUUACAAAAUGAUAUCCUCUGACCCCGAAAUUCUAUUUCGAGGAAUUUAUCUUAUGAAAAUACUUACACAGUUAAGAAAUGAAACAUAUACAUGGUUAUUCAUUACAGUAUUAGUAAAAGAUAAGAAACAACCUAAAUAUACAUUAAUUAGAAGCUGGCUGGAUUUCCCAUUGUGGCUCAGUGGUUAACGAAUCUGACUAGGAACCAUGAGGUUGUGGGUUCGACCCCUGGCCUUGUUCAGUGGGUUAAGGAUCUGGCAUUGCCAUGAGCUUUUUUCAACAUUUUCCAACACCUACUAAGUAUUCCUAACAAUAACAAAUAGUUACAUAAGGAAAUACUUCGCCCUUCCAAUGGUAAAAAUGGGUACAUGAUUUUAAAAAAACAUAUAGUGACGAAAUACAAUCCUUAAUCAAUACAUAUUAUCAGAAGAAGGAAAGGAAAGACUGCAUAGUGUUUGAAGAAAGAGCAAACUACAUGGUCCAAGAGAUUGGAUAUAAGAUAAAAUGAAGACACACUUCUUCCACAUCUCAGCUUAAGGUAUUUGCUAGAUGGUUUCUUAAAUUAAACACGCUGCCUUUGUGUGUGUGAAGAACUAAAGAAAAGUUUUACUGAGGAAGAUGCAAUCCCAAUAGCAAAUUUCCUCUUUUAUAAACGUUAUGUGUAACUUCUGUUGGAGCAGCUGCUUUAACUAGAAAAGGGAUUCUCAGAUAAAUCAGAGAAAAAGGGAUUCUUAGCAAUUCAUGUGAAUGUCACUCAAUGAGUCAUUCAGAUACAGGCAAGUUAUUGCAGCAAAAAAGUUGAAAUAAAUGUGCACUAAAUGCUCUAGGAUUAUCAUCAGUGUGGUUAAAUUUUAUUUUAAAAAAAUCUUUAAAGUAGAAGAAUCAUUAGGGUCUUUUUAAUGAGAUGAGGAAUAUCUAAAAAUGCCUUUUCCUCUAUUAAGCUUGCUAGCUCCCUACUGUAAAGAACUUAAAAGAACUAUUGAAUAUAAAAGAUGGGCUAUGGGUUUUUCUUGUACAAAAAGAAAACACAUUCAAAAUUUGCUGAGCUUUUCUGUGAUAAAAGGUUAAGCUACCAAGCAGAAUCUUCAAAACAAACACACUUGAACCUGUACCUUCAAUGUAAAAGGAACAAUUGUCACAGUUUGUGAGGGAACAACUGAUUUUUGGAGUAAUUUCUAAGGGAAUUUAAAAACUGGAGGUUUCAAAUCAGUCACAAAAUCUUCCAGGAAAAGCACAUUUUAGGAAGCAUUUUAAUAAGCAUUUGAUGCAGACAUAUUUUUAAUGAAGGUGAUAAUACUGACUUUUAACUCUUGAAAUGUGAAGACCAUUCUCUGCUUUCGAAAGAUUCUAAUUUUCAAAAUAAAGAAAUGAAGUCCCAUCUCAAGCAAAAAAAAAAAGUUUGUUUUUAAGAAGCCAAAAGUAAUUAACUCCUAUUAAUUCGGACAUACACAUUGCCUCAAAAUAAAACUCAUCAGGACUUGAGCAAGAAAAAAGCUCUAUACUUCAGUGUGUACUUUGCUCUACAAGAGGGACAUCUUGCUACCAAUUUGACUGGAUGGGAAUAAAAUGCUUGUUGUCCAGCAACGUACUUUGGUAUCACUCAAUGUUCAGAAUAAAAAAUGUACUCUAAGCUCACAACUGCCACAAAGCUGUUCCACAGCAUGUUGGGCAAUUCAAGCAAGAAAAACAAAAAGAGCUAUAAUGUACAUUAUUUCAAAACAAUGACUCAACAGUUAAUGAGCAUUUGAAGUGAUUGCAAAAGGCUGAAGUGAUUAGUUUACUCCAACGACCACAAUGCCAGGCUGCCAGGAGUGUUUAUAAUUCCAAAUCUAGCACAGCAGACCCUCAGAUUACAAAAAGGUCUUUUCAAUAAGUUUUUUUAAAAACAUUCAGUGUUAAAUGGCAAACUGCGUUUUUCCAGCCUAAAUUUCUCUAAUACCAAAACAUAAACUGAGUCAAGGCAAAAAUUAAAUCUGUGAUGGAAAUGACCUUUGAACCCCCCCUAGGAAUGGUGCUGAGAACCAGACAAACUGAAGGACGGAAAGAGAAAUGCUGACAGUGGGGAUUUUCCUGUCAAAAGUAUCGAAGAAAAAGAAAGAGCCAGACAAACUAAUAAAGAAGCAAAAGUAUCGGAGAAAAAGAAAGAGCCAGACAAACUAAUAAAGAUUCACUACACGGCACCCUCAAUUUAAAAAUUCUUGUUCUUAAACCCAAAUUAUCACUCAAAAAUAUCCCUUCCCAGAGAUGAUCACAAGUUGGCAUGGGUGGGAAUUUUACAAGUCAUCAGACCUGCACUUAAAGCCAAAACAAAAAACAAAAAAACUAGCUCGAUUAUUUUAUUUCCAAAUUUAAGAAGAAAUCUUAUCUUCUCGGUUUUGGAAGCCCUGAAUAAUGGAACCAUGAUUAGGUACCCAUUAUUUUCAUGAAGUAUGAGUCUAGAAAUAAACUCUAGGAUAUUUUUCUUAAGUAACAUCACCUGAGAAAGGCAGGAAGCUGGGAGAAAAAUUAACAGUUCAAGUUAAUUGAGCCUUUAUAGAAAAUUCUUUCAGUAAUAUUGUGAGCUUAUCAUUGAUCACCUCGCUUCCUUUUUUUGUCCUUAGUAAAAGAAAAAUAAAGGGGACAUCUUAAGAGCUGAUGAAAUGAAGGGUAUAAGCCACAUACUGUGCUGCGCCCUGGCAAAUGAUAAACAAAAGCAAACAAGGUCCUUGGUAUCUUCGGGGCUUUUUGCUACAGGGAGAAAUGGCACACAAAACUGGAAAACUGGAAGCACUGGUACAGCAUGUACUGGGCACUCUGAGAGCAAACAGGCUGGAGAUGGAGCAAACCUAUUCAAGAACCUCAGCGGUGUUCCUGCCUUAGGCAGUGGCCACUGAGCUAAGGCCAACAGGAUGAAGGAGAGACAGAAAAACAGUACAGAAGUGCCCAGAGGAGAGACUGAAGAGAUGAACAGGAACUCGGUCUUUCGGGGUUUCACAAAUUCUGUUAAGGGUUUCUGUGUCUACCUAACCCAUAGAUUCUAACUAAGAGCAACAGGGCGUUAUCUUGAGAAGCAUCACUCCGGCUGCACUGUGGAGAAGGAACUGGAUUAGCACAAGGAUGUACACAGGGAGACCAAUGAGAACUGCUACAGUUCAAGGCAGGAAAUGAUAGACUGAGCCAGGACACUGACGACAGAGACACAGAAUCAACAGGACUGGAUGACAGACGGGGAAAGGAGCUGUAAGGAAUACACACAGGCAAAGUGUCACCUAGGUUUGCAGCAGGCCAACUGGAUGCAUGGGGGGUGAUGGUCACUAAAAUGAGAAACGCUAAAGGAAGCCCGGACCUGAAGGGGAAAGAUCAUAAUUUCCUAAAAUGCGUUUGAUGUGCCCUUGGGACACACGGAAGGAAGAAGAUGCCAAGUAGGUUAUUUGGUCUCUAAAGCUGGACCACUAUUAUUGACCUUGAGUCAUCGUAGGAAAGUAAUUAAUCUUACAGUCUGAAUAGAUACAAAGAAUUGAGAGUGACCAAGGACCUGGGCUUAGACUCUU